GUCUACGAGUCGGGUUGUU
rnacentral:snRNA from 1 species